AUUGAACGCUAGCGGCAUGCUUAACACAUGCAAGUCGUACGGCAGCACAGUGUGUAGUAAUACACAUGGGUGGCGAGUGGCGGACGGGUGAGUAACGCGUAGGAAUCUACCUCAUAGUGGGGGAUAACCCGGGGAAACUCGGGCUAAUACCGCAUAAUCUUUACGAAGCAAAGAUGGCCUCUAUUUAUAAGCUAUCGCUGUGAGAUGAGCCUGCGUUGGAUUAGCUAGUUGGUGGGGUAAAGGCCUAACAAGGCAACGAUCCAUAGCUGGUCUGAGAGGAGGAUCAGCCACACUGGGACUGAGACACGGCCCAGACUCCUACGGGAGGCAGCAGUGGGGAAUAUUGGACAAUGGGCGCAAGCCUGAUCCAGCAAUGCCGCGUGUGUGAAGAAGGCCUUCGGGUUGUAAAGCACUUUUAGUGGGGAGGAGGCUACUUUAGUUAAUACCUAGAGAUAGUGGACGUUACUCGCAGAAUAAGCACCGGCUAACUCUGUGCCAGCCGCCGCAGUAA
rnacentral:rRNA from 1 species